rnacentral:sRNA from 1 species
UGGCUCACGUGCUGAAAUUUUUACCAAGCAUAACAGACAUAACCACUCAGUCA